rnacentral:sRNA from 1 species
AUGCCCCGCCCCCUCCCCAGCCCCAGACACGGACCCCGCAGGAGAUGGGUGCCCCCAUCCGCACACUGUCCUUUGGCCACCGGACAUCAUGCCUCCCAAGAAGGAUGUUCCCGUGAAGAAACCAGCAGGGCCCUCCAUCUCCAAACCUGCUGCUAAGCCAGCAGCAGCAGGGGCUCCUCCAGCCAAGACCAAAGCUGAGCCAGCUGUCCCCCAGGCCCCUCAGAAAACCCAGGAGCCUCCAGUCGAUCUCUCCAAAGUGGUGAUCGAGUUUAACAAGGACCAGCUGGAGGAGUUCAAGGAGGCCUUCGAGCUGUUUGACCGAGUGGGGGAUGGCAAGAUCCUGUACAGCCAGUGUGGGGACGUGAUGAGGGCCCUGGGCCAGAACCCCACCAACGCCGAGGUGCUCAAGGUCCUGGGGAACCCCAAGAGUGAUGAGCUGAAGUCCCGGCGUGUGGACUUUGAGACUUUCCUGCCCAUGCUCCAGGCAGUGGCCAAGAACCGAGGCCAAGGCACAUAUGAGGACUACUUGGAGGGGCUUCGUGUGUUUGACAAGGAGGGGAACGGCAAAGUCAUGGGAGCAGAGCUCAGACAUGUUCUCACCACCCUUGGUGAGACAGGCAAGGGGGACCAGAACUCCUUUAGAGUGGAGAGGGGGAUGGGGUGGGCCAGAAAAAAGACUGGACAGAUAAGCAGAGCUAGCAGGAGGAUUACUGUCCUGCAGGUUGUCAGCAGGAGACUGAGAAGGUCAGAGCUAUGGGGGUAGAAUCUGAAGGACUCGCUCUUCCAGAGGCUAAAGUGCCAUCCGGAGGGCAGAGGAAAAGGGAUGAGGCGGGAAACCUGAAUUUUCAUUUUGGAAGAGACGUGUGGGUUGUGUGUUCUGGUACAAGUCUCGUAACCUCCUGGGAUUGUUUCCUUGUGGGUCAAUACUUUCAGCAGUACUAGGGUGAAAUGGAAAGCAAGAGGCAUCCAUGACCAGGGGAGGAUUCCCUUGAGGACUGAGGCUAUGGGAGAAGAAGAGGUACCACUCUAAAGAGCGUGGCCUGGCCGGGUAUGGUGGCUCACGCCUGUAAUCCCAGCAUUUUGGGAGACCAAGGCGGGCGGAUCACCUGAGCUCGGGAGUUCGAGACCGGCCUGGCCAACAUGGUAAAACCCCAUCUCUAUUAGUAAUAUAAAAAUUAGGCGGGCAUGGUGGCACGCACCUAUAGUCCCAGCUACCCAGGAGGCUGAGGCAGGAGAAUCGCUGGAACCCGGGAGUCUGAGG